CGAGAGAUUUAUUUCAGAUAUUUAGUAGCUUUUGCUGAUAACAUUUUAUAUUUAGAGAGUAUUUUAUACUCGAAUCUCGGUCUGUAUCUUAGCGUAUAUCCAGAAAUCUGUGAUAGGUGUCAACUUUUGUAUAAUGGGCUGAAUUAAUGCUGUGAAAGUGAAGUGUUUGAGGCGCCUUAAGAUGUGCCUUAAUUUGCCAGACGUUGAGAAAACAAAGAAAUGGCAGAUACGACAUGGGCUAAUAAAGAACUACGCCUACUUGAACCAAACAAACCUGCACAGCGGUUGUAACUCGGUUGCUACUCUCUCAAGACUACAGAUGCUGAGAUAAAUAUAUACACCAAUCAUGUUUGUUUCUCAUAAGCUCAGCCCGUCUAAGAAGACCUUCCAGAAGCCUAACAUCUUGCGGCGGAAGACCAAGGUCACUGCUAUCAAAUCUGGGCCCUGCAAGCUCAGUCUGGCGCCCACAGCAACCACAGCGGGGCCCAGGCUGCCAGACACAGCCAGAAACAAUACUGCAGAGGAUUGGGGUGUGUCAAGACCUGGUAAGAAGGUGCAGUUGGAGGUGUUGGCGCAAGAUGUGGCAUGCAGACCAAGUGACGUCCCUGCAGCUACAAGUGUGUGUACACACACACAGGAGAUGAUGGACACACACGACCAAGAAACUAAUGUGGAGGAGACUCUUGUUGAUGAAAUACAGCACAACACAGAGCCGGAGGUUGUCGACGUAGAGGCUUUCUUGAACGGCGGCCAGACACAGUACAAAACACUAUAUGAAGCUCAGAGUAAAUUGGAAAACAGUUCAGUUCAAAAAUGGCAAAUAGAUUUUGAAAAUGACACAGAUGAGAUCAUAAUGGAACCUUAUGAUGAAUUGCAAGAGAUGCCGGAGGACAAGUCGGAUGCGGACUUGCCGUCACUCGACUGCGACCUCGUCACCAUCCGGCCUGGGAAGUUCAAGUGCGACGAGCCAGACUGCAACAAAGCGUUCGUCACGGAGCAGAAGCUGCGCCGGCACCGCGGCGUGCACAACAAGCAGCGCCCCCCUCCCCCUCCCCCACCCCCCGCCGCCGUGGAGUGUCCGGCGGGGGAGGCGGCGGGGGUGGAGGGGGAGGGAGGGAGGUGCCGGCGCGUGUUCGCGGCGCGGGACCAGCUGGCGCGCCAUCUGAGGGAGGACCACGGGCCUAAGGAUGCGCUUCACGGUUGCGAGGAGUGCGGGCGUCGCUUUUUCUGGGCGGUGGGGCUCCGCGCGCACGCCCGCGCGCACGCCGCGCCCGGAGCCCUGCACCACUGUCUGUGGCCCGGGUGUGGCCGCGCCUUCAGGCAGCCCUGCAGGCUCCGGGAACACGCCCGAGCACACACCGGCGACAGGCCCUACAGGUGAGGACUGCAGGUGGCGCCCUGCACCACUGUCUGUGGCCCGGGCGUGGACGCGCCUUCAGGCAGCCCUGCAGGCUCCGGGAACACGCCCGAGCACACACCGGCGACAGGCCCUACAGGUGAGGACUGCAGGUGGCGCCCUGCACCACUGUCUGUGGCCCGGGCGUGGACGCGCCUUCAGGCAGCCCUGCAGGCUCCGGGAACACGCCCGAGCACACACCGGCGACAGGCCCUACAGAUGUAAGCACCCGGGCUGCCCCUGGGCGUUCCGCACGGCGUCGAAGCUGCUGCGUCACGCGCGGAGACACACGGGGGAGAGGAGGCACGCCUGCGCCUGCGGCCGAGCCUUCCGCAGGAGGGAACACCUGCGCGAGCAUCAGGCCCGGCACCGCCGCG